UGAUGGUUAGUUUAAACAAAAUAAUUGAUUUCGACUCAUUAGUUUAUGAUUAAGUUCAUAACCAUCAU
rnacentral:tRNA from 1 species